AAUCGAAAGCGAGGUUUCAUCUGCCUGUGGUAUAUGGUGGAAGUGAGGCUGCUCAUCUCUUCAGACGGAAAUACAGUGCAGUUAUUCAUGAUGCAGUUCAUGCUUCUGUUCAGUCGUCAAGGCAAGCUCCGGCUGCAGAAAUGGUACGUGCCUCUGUCUGACAAAGAGAAAAAGAAGAUCACCAGAGAGCUGGUCCAGACCGUCUUAGCCCGGAAGCCUAAAAUGUGCAGCUUUCUGGAGUGGAGAGACCUAAAGAUUGUUUAUAAGAGAUAUGCCAGCCUGUAUUUCUGCUGUGCCAUAGAGGACCAGGACAAUGAGCUCAUCACUCUGGAAAUCAUCCACAGAUAUGUGGAGCUGCUGGAUAAAUACUUUGGCAGUGUUUGUGAGCUUGACAUUAUUUUCAACUUUGAGAAGGCCUACUUCAUUCUGGAUGAAUUCUUGCUGGGCGGUGAGGCUCAGGAAACGUCCAAGAAGAACGUUCUGAAGGCCAUCGAGCAGGCGGACCUACUGCAGGAGAAUAUAGACUUUCAGAUGCGUCUGUUUGCAGCCCCGUCAUGAGUACUUUAAUGUGCCUAUGUACUGAUUGGCUGCCAUCUGCUGCUGCUGCUGCCGCUGCUGUCCGCCCUGCAUGCUGCGCUUCUCAGUGCCUGGUACCUUUUCUCUCUGGCCUCUGAGCACCUGACCUUAUGUUCGGGGUGUAUCGUCGGCCUCACUUUCAAUUCCACUCGAAACAUGACAGCCGGGCUAAAGUGUUGUCCAGGAAGUUAACCACAGCUAAAAUUCAGUGGUGGAUUUUUUAUUAUUAUUAUUUUUAAACUGCUCCUCUGGAACAAGAAAACAUCACUUUUAAAUCGAGCUAAUAUAUUUAUGUAGCUAUUAUAAUUGUUUAUUUUAUGCAUUAUUGCAUGUCUGUCAACGGUCUGCUAAAUGUUGUACAUAUUUUUUCUUUCUAUUUGUGUAUUUUCUUGCUGUAAAGGACAAAGUUUGCAUUUUGUGUCGUCAUGAUCCAUUGUAGGGUUUUUGUUUUUGUUUUUUUAAAUGAAGCUCAAUUUCCUCUUAGACAUUUUUGCCCCAUCUUUUUCUCUUUGAGAAACUCUGACUGAAAAUUUGAGUGAAAUUCCUGGUUAAUUAACUGGCGACAUUCUUGGAACAAGAAGAUGGAUUUCAAGCUCAUUGAUUUUUGGUUAAAUAGGACACGUUAGCUCAGUUAGUCACGGGAGUCGCUUGUUCUGCGCAGCUCCCCGUCACUCUAUGGGGAAACACUGCCCCCUGUUGGAGAUUCGGCAGCACAACCAUGCAGGGAGUUUCACUGUGUUUCGGUCUUCUAUUUGCUCUCAGGACAGGAGUGUUUGCGUUUAUAGGAAAAAUAUUUUAAAAAUGAAUAACAGCUCACUGUGUACGGUCAUGCUAACUCUGAAGCUACUUAAACACAGACUGGAGGUUAAUGUUAGUUAUUUUAUUCACAGAUGUAGUGUGUGUGUGUGUGUGUUUUUUUUUUUUGGUUCACAGAAGAUGUUUUUGUCAGAUUUUAAUUCAUGUUAAAGUCUGUGUGAAUCUAAAACAAGUUAUUAAUUUACAUAUUUUUUUUGGGGGGGGGGUUCUGUCACACUGAUGAUGACUAGAAGUUGUGUGACAUUAAAAUAAGUCUGAGACAAUAGCAAAGACUAGCAAUAAUCUAGAUUCUUAAUUUCUGUUUGACAUGACUCUAUUUUUGUAUUUUAAAAUAAAUGUUAAAAAUAUCACUAAUUAGAUAUGUAAUUUCCACUGAAGGUAAGUGUUUAUAGAUGAAUUAUAUUAAAAUUUAUUUUUGCACCAAAUACAAAUUGUGUGGAUAAAUCAAGGACCACUUAUUCUCAACCGAAAUCUGUCCUCCUAACAAAUAUAAAAAUCAUAAUUGGACCGUUAUGAUGAGUGGAGUGAUGUAAUAAUUGAUUUUAACAAUAUAUAUAAUAAAUCACACAUUUAUGACCAUUAAGCUAGUUUGUUUUUUUUCUGUUGUAAACGUUUAAUUUAAAAUUUCUGUGAUGCCAUGUAGCACAUUUCUUAAACACUCAGGCAGAUGUUUAGAAACGAAGUCAUAUUUCUUGUUGGAAAGAAACUCAAUUGUGCCAAACAUUGUGUGAAAUAUCCAUACCACUUAAACUUUUUAAAAUAUUUUAUGAGAUUACAGACUUUGAUUUUAUUUGUACUUUAUGUGAAAGACCAACUUGAACUUUGACUGGUCCAUUCCAACAAGAAGAUGUUGACUCCAUACCCACAGAGCCACAUGUAACUUUUUACAGUAUCCACUGAGGCUCUAUGUAAUAUUUGUCCAAAAUGCUAAAAAAUUAAUAUUUUAAACUAAGUAUUAAAAAAUACAUAUUUUAUGUAAUGUAUACACUGCAUUAUCAGAAAAAUACUGUGAACUUUUUUCUUUUUUGUAAAAAUUUACUUUUUUUGUCUUUUGGUUGCAAAGUAUGCAUCUUUUUAAAAGAAUUAUUUUCAAUUGAAAAGUUUUGUGCGUUCCUUUUGUGCAAAACAGUUUGAUAACUUUGUUAAAACCUAAAAAAACAAAAAAUAAAUGCUUUUUUUUUUACAUUUAAAAAUCUAACUAUUUUUGAUAAGCAAAGCUAAAUAAGCUCAUUGGUUUCAUGUAGUUUUUAAACAAAGUUUGUUUAGCUGGACCAAAGCCCAAAAUGGCUGUCUGGGUUGUGACGUUAGCUGACGCCUGGUCUGUCGCAUAAAAUCCAAAAUAAAAUAUACUGAAGUUUGUAGUUCUACUCUGAUCCAAUGUGGAAAAGGUUUAAGAGGCAUAAAUAUAUAACAUGCUGUUAAAAAAAAGACAUUUAGAAAAGUUCUUGUGUAACAUGCAUCUCCGUGGUGUAGUCACAGAGUUUGAGCUUUCUUCUCUCGAAGUGCAACGUCUUCACAGAUGCAUCAAAGUUGAAAUGUUAGAUCCUCUUUCUGUGUGAAGUCGAUUUUCUGUCUCACUGCUCUGAUGAAAUUCCUCUCUUUACCUUUGUGCUGAACGCUGGCUUAGGACGCCAAAGAUGCAGAGACCUCUCGCAGCGUGCUGGAGGAAAUUGGACUCAUGUAAACAUUUCCUCCGUCAUCAUCCUCCUCAUCAUCAUCCUGCUUUGGUCUCAGAUCCCUGUCCUGUGCUGGCUACUGUUCUUCAUAGACCCGAUAACUCUUAUUCAGAAUCACACAUUCUGACUGUAAAGUCAUCUCUAGCAGUUUCUGCUUUCUUAUUUAUUUAUUUAUUUUCCUUCUCAGUUUUCCAAUGCGCAGUGAGAUGACAUAUGGGGGAAAAAAACCCCAGCAAUUUAUUAUGCUUUUUAUAUUUUGUUGUCAAGUAAGGGAAUAGAUUGUGUCACGUUAUUUAAAGGGAAGUCUAAAGUAUUACGUUAGAACCAAAGAGUAAGGUCUCAUCGUUGGGAGGUUAUCAAUAGCCGAUAAGUUUUAAACUGAAGAUGUGUGUGAAUUAAAACGCACUCACUGUGAUCACUCAACAACGCAUCACUGUUCAGUCCGGAAUAAACGCUGUAAUAUCUUCGUUUACAAGCUCACGCCGCUCUUAUCGAUCACACUUUGGCUUUACAAAAAUAGCCAAUUUACAGUCGAAUGCCUUAAACCACUGACUAGUAUUAUUUUAUUUUUUUUAUGGCAACAAUGUAGCAGGUAAACGCGCUGGAUUGGUUUUACUUCACGUAAAAGUGCAAGAAUCAAGCUGACUGUUUUUCAUUUCCAUGUUUACAACUUUGUCGACUAAAAGUCAGAGACAUGCAGCAACUGUUAACGCCGCCAAAAACAAGAACUACCCAUCCAUCCAUGGUUUAUACCCACUUGUUCUUGGAGGGGCUGGCGUCUAACUUUAGACCCUCGGAUAGAUUUAGACGUCAUUUCCUGCCUCACCGCUAGCAAAGACAUCUAGAUGUUGCUGGACUAAAUGUGGCAGCCCGUUGCCGAUGCUGCUCUAAAGUGGUUUUGUAAGACAGAUCAGGAGGUCAUCAAAACAUUUACUGAUUUUUAGUAACUUAAUUCAAAAGUGAAACUUGUGUUUUAUGUAGAUUCUUUAGACACUUGGCGACAUCUAGUUUUGAUAGUGACAACUGAAAGCUGGCAAAAACUCCAAACUCAAGCAAAUCUUAAACAUUAUUCCAAAUGAAUUGACAGUUAAUGGAAAGUUGAUUGGAAGAAAACAAUGUGGUCAAAAAUGGCAAACAAGCGCCUGAGCGAAGUUGUUCCCUCCUCCACCUUCUUCAAAUUAAAUAAACGUUUGUGCAGAAACAAAUUUUCAUUUGUGCGGCGACCGUUUUAAACAUAUUGAUAAAUGUUUCGAGAGGUCAUGAAAGGUCAAACAGACCCCCGCUCCUCCCUCCCCUCAACAUUUACCAAAUCAAACAAAAAUAACUUUCAGUAAUAUCCUCAAAACAAACUUUUUUUUUAAUGCUGCAGCAUUCUAAGACAUUUUGGACAAUUUGGAGAUGGUCAUCUAAUGUUCAAAUAUGCCUGCAAAAUAGGGCAUUAUGAAAUUCCAUAAAGACACAGAUGACUGAGUUUGUUGAGGGAAAGCUCGACUGGUCUGCUCAGAGCCACAACCUCAACCUGGAAGGACACUUUUCUGAUCCAUCAGAACAGAGUCCAGAGUCUAGAUUCUACCAUGUCUGAUGCCAAACGAGUGGAUACUUUUGGCGGCAUAAUGAAAUAUUUUUCACUUUUGAACUGAAUUACUGAAAUGACCAUUUCAGAGAUGUUCCUGUUUGCUAAGUUGCACCUGUAAGCAGCAGAGUCCAAAAAAGCUGAAUUGUGCACUGCCCGUACUUUCUAAACAAAGAGACGUCUCACCGUAGGACUAAACGAUGACACACUGUGGAGCAUGUAAAGUACCUACUGACUGUGAUCAUAAAAAUAAUAAUUUAAAAAAAAAAAAAACCUUCAGUGGUGAAACUUUCCGUUUAUAAAAAGCAAUAGAAACAUAAACCGUUGGAGUUUUUAUGCAUUGAAACAGUCAUUUUUAACCAUUUGAUCAGAAAAGAAAAAGAAGCUGCACACAUAAAAUGCCUUGGACGCAGGACUGUACAAAUUCCUUGUUAUAAAUGUGCAUUCUUGUGUAUGUCUUAUUUUGAUUUACAUGCUGAUAAAAUCCAAAUUGUGCUGUUUACAUCUUUUCUAUACCUCCUGAUGAGCGGUUUCUUGUCUAAAGAGUUUGUGUGACAGAAUCUGUGUUGUGUUUACAGUAAAAUAAAAGCCGUACAUUAC